rnacentral:rRNA from 1 species
AAAAGAAGAUCAAGAAGAGCUUCAGAAUGAAGCUUUCUUGAUGGAGGGGAGCGGCAGACGGGUGAGUAACGCGUGGGAACGUACCCUUUGCUACGGAAUAGCUCCGGGAAACUGGAAUUAAUACCGUAUGUGCCCUACGGGGGAAAGAUUUAUCGGCAAAGGAUCGGCCCGCGUUGGAUUAGCUAGUUGGUGGGGUAAUGGCCUGCCAAGUCGACGCUGCAUAUGUGGUAUGAGAGGAUGAUCAGCCACAUUGGAACUGAGACACGGCCCAAACUCCUACGGGAUACAGCAGAGGGGAAUAUUGGACAGUGUGCGCAGGCAUGAUCCAGCCAUGCCGCGUGAGUGAUGAAGGCCCUAGGGUUGUAAAGAUCUUUCGCCAGGGACGUUAAUGACGGUACCUAGAUAAGAAGCCCCGGCUAACUUCGUGCCAGCCGCCGCAGUAAUAC